rnacentral:tRNA from 3 species
GGGCGUUAGCUCAGUUGGUAGAGCAGCGGACUCUUAAUCCGUAGGUCGAGUGUUCGAGUCACUCACGCCC